GUUUCAGUGACCACAAAAAAUGGUCACUAGUUAUGUAUAAUUUUAUUCAUAGCGCCUAACUCUAAAAAGGGAUCAAUGUAUACUUACUUUUAACCGGAAAAAGAUACGGUCAAAAUAACCUUAAAAAAUCACCAACAUAUAGUUACUUUUAACGGCAAUACAUGUCAUCAAACCACAAGGGUAAAAAUGUAACUUACCUUAAAAUACAAGUGGCAAUACAACAUACAAGACACGCUCACACGCAGACCAUUUUUCACGUAUAAACGGAUGCAAACCAAUCUCUCCCAUCGUUUCACCGUUGUUCUCAUCCACCAUCUGCAAGCCCUAAACCUUCCCCAAUCUCCAGUUCGUCAUCGCCAAAUCCAAUUUCUACUACCUAGGGUUUUUGUAUCUGCUGAGAUUUUCAAGGAUGUUCGGCGACCAACAUUUGUCUAUACCCAAGUCAUCACGUUAUCAACAAAGUCCGAGAAGAAUUCAUCAAAAAUCGUCGUCCUGGCGAAAGCCUUACUUCUUACUUACGACAAUGUUUGUCCCCACGCCCCCUUCCUCCGACUGGCGUCGCCAGCUCCUUCCCUACAUCCUCCAGUAUCUCUUUCUCUCUCUAUCUCAAUCGUUUUCCCCUUGUGAUUUCAUCGAUUGGAUGAGAUUUUGAAAGAAGGUUACAUGGAUAGUUGAAUGUAUGUUCUUAUGAUCAGCAUCUUAGGGACACAGUUCAUCUUCUCCCCCGUUCAAUAGAAUGUGCACAACAGUUGUUCGAUGAAAUGCUUACAUGAAUUGGGAGUGAAGUUUGAGUAUAUCUAUCUCCAUCUGUUCAUAAUUGAAAUUGCAGAAUACUGACUCUUUGAAAAAAGAUUAAAUUUAAAAAGCUCGUGUUUGAAUCUUUUUAUGGGGUCUGGGAAGUCGUUCACUUUGUGCCAGCUGGAAGCUUGGUUAGCUGAGUAUAAGGUUAGGAGAGGUGCCACGCGCACUGUUGAGGUGGAGGAAAUUGAUGAUAAUGAUGACAGUUGUGGGAUUUGUGGUGAUGGUGGUGAGUUGAUUUGCUGUGAUAAUUGCCCCUCAACUUCUCAUCUAACAUGCUUAUGUGUACAGGAGCUACCUGAAGGCAAUGCUCUUGUUGGAUUUGUGGGAAUGUGGUCAAUGAUAACGAGCCUUCAAGUUUGGAUGGCCUGAAAUGUUUGCAAUGCGAACAUAAAUACCAUGAGGAAUGUCAUGGAGAAACCGGAAUAGAAAGAGACUUGACGUGGUUCUGUGGGGAAAGCUGAAAGGAGGUUUAUUUCGGGCUUCAUUCCCGGAUUGGAAUUAUGAAUUCCAUUUCCGAUGGUUUCUCGUGGACCAUUCUGAAAUGCAUACAUGGCGACCAAAAGAUUCAUUCCGGAUUGGUUGCUUUGAAAGCUGAAUGCAAGUUGAAACUGGCAGAUGCACUUACAAUUAUGGAGGAGUGUUUUCUUCCCAUGGUGGAUCCAAGAACAGACAUUGAUAUGAUCCCACAUGUUUUAUACAAUUGGGGAUCAGAAUUUGCACGUCUGAACUAUGAGGGGUUCUAUACAGUGAUCUUGGAGAAAAAUGACGUAAUACUUUGUGUAGCAUCAUUAAGGUAUACAAAUUGGUGAUAUUUUCUAGCAUUGAAUAGUAAAUGGCCAUUUUGCCCUUUGACCUUUUUAACCCUAUGUUUGAAAUUUGUGUUCAUGAUUCAUGGGGUAAAUGUUACGGAGAUGCCUUUAAUUGCAACAUGCAGCAAAUAUCGGUGUCAGGGAAUGUGUAGGCGUCUCAUGAAUGCUAUUGAAGAGAUGCUCAAGUCAUUCAAGGUUGAGAAGCUGGUGGUAUCUGCGAUCCCCAGUGUGGUUGACACGUGGAGGGAUGGAUUUGGAUUCACAGCCUUGGAAUCCCAUGAAAAAAAAGAGCCUCACAAAAAAUAGUUCUUUUCCUACAGGUUGGUUUUUUGUUAAAUAAAAGAUGUUCAAGCAUUAUGGAGGGUGUUAUGCCUGAGUUUCAAAGAGGGGUUAAAAGUUUUCAAAUUGAUGUUGACCAAAAUGCUAGUGAUGAAGGAGAAAAGAUUUCACUGCUACUAGAAAAAGCUGCAUAACCACCAUUUCAUGUGCAAAAGACAAGAAUGCCCUUCUUAUUAAACAUAAAACCUAAAUGAUGUCAUUUGGUAGGCAAGUAGGCACUUAGAGAUGCAAAAGUCAAUUAAAAUGGCCUUAGAGAAAGCUAGUCACAAGGCCUCCCCACAAUCUAUAUCACAUUCUUUUGUAACUAUUAUUUGUGUACAGUUUAUAAAAUGAGUAAGGCAGUUAGAAUUGGAAUA